rnacentral:lncRNA from 1 species
GUCAACAGAAAGUGUUGAAAUGUUUUGUGUAUCAGUUUGGCAUUUUAUAGUAAAGGGAUUUCAGUUUAAAAGUGAAUAUGAUCGAGGAAAUAAUAAAAUUAGUUUUCCAUUUAUACAAUAUAUUAUAUGAUUAUAACGGAGGAAUGAUAGUUGGAUUUAAAACAAAAGACGUAUUUAUAUAACAGUUUGUAUCGCCGAACAUAAUUAAAUGAACUACUGGAUAAAUGUCAUCUUUGUAAGAAUAAUACUAUUCAAUUCAAUUAAUAUUAUGAUUUACUUAUUUCAAAAGACUGCAUAUAACGCGACAAUGUUUAUAAUAUUUUCAGCAUGGCGACUAUAAAUUUAAAUCCGAUUAUUGACAAGUCUAAACUUGAUAAUGACACAGACAAGUUAACGCACGC